rnacentral:rRNA from 1 species
GUGUCAGCCGCCGCGGUAAUACGUAGGGUGCAAGCGUUGUCCGGAAUUAUUGGGCGUAAAGAGCUCGUAGGCGGUUUGUCACGUCUGCUGUGAAAUUUCGAGGCUCAACCUCGAAAUUGCAGUGGGUACGGGCAGGCUAGAGUGCGGUAGGGGAGAUGGGAAUUCCUGGUGUAGCGGUGGAAUGCGCAGAUAUCAGGAGGAACACCAAUGGCGAAGGCACAUCUCUGGGCCGUAACUGACGCUGAGGAGCGAAAGCGUGGGGAGCAAACAGGAUUAGAUACCCUGGUAGUCCACGCCGUAAACGGUGGGUGCUAGCUGUGGGCCACAUUCCACGUGGUCCGUGACGAAGUUAACACAUUAAGCACCCCGCCUGGGGAGUACGGCCGCAAGGCUAAA